GGACCUGCUCUCAAAGGAAGCCUGUUCUGAGUCUGUUGGCUUCCUCUUACCUGUGACGGGUUGUCCAGUAUGCAUGGCCUUAGUGAGACCCUCGGGUGGUUCCCCAGCAUACCCCUGACACUCCUCUUACUGUCUGUCUUCUUUGGCCCAGUUUCUCGGCUACCUCAGUGCCUGUGAAAGGCUGCUGCGGCAGGGCUACGAUGAGGCACUGGUGGACGAGGCCAUGGAGAUGUUCCAGUUCUCCGAGCAUCAGGCAGGGGAGUUCCUGAGGCUCUGGCAGCAGUUCAGUGACAUGGGCUUCCAGCAAGACCGUAUCAAGGAGGUGCUGUUGGUCCACGGCAACCAGCGUGAACAAGCCCUGGAGGAGCUGGUAGCCUGUGCCCAGUGACAAGCCAGGACGCUGUUUGAUGCAUGACUGACAGUGAGGUCAGUCCUGCCACCCAUCCCAGCUGUAUCAUUAAAAGAUAAUGCUGCUGGUGGUGGUGGCACACACCUUUAGUCCUAGCACUGGAGCUGCAGAGGCAGGCGGAUCUCUGAGUUCAAGGCCAUCCUGGUCUACACAGUGAGUUCCAGGACAGCCAGGGUUGCAUAGAGAAACCCCGUCUUAAGAAAACCAAACACAGUAAUCAUAAUAAAUGAAAUAAAAUAAAAUAAACAAAACCUAACAAGACC
rnacentral:lncRNA from 1 species